rnacentral:rRNA from 1 species
UUGAAAGGGAAACGAUUGAAGUCAGUCGUACUGACGGGUAAUCAACCUUUCGGGGGCGAUUAUGUGGAACGUGUUGGAGCCUAACAGUCCUCAUGCCUGCAUAUUCGUUCACCUUGGGUGUACUUGCCCGUGUGGUAGGUUAACAUCAAUUUCGGACGUCAUAAAAUAACGGGAGGAAUGUAGCAUUGGUCUCGUACUGAAGUGUUAUAGACUCUGGUAGAUGUGACGAUCGGGAUUGAGGAUUGCAACGGAUACCCCUCGGGGCUACCCGCCUGGCCUCUGAAGGUCGCUAUGGUGCCGAAAGCUUGCUUACGGUCAUCAGAGUUUGGCAGUCAAUAGGUUAGAACGGGUUAAAUUCGUUAAGGAUGUUGACGUA